UUUCCAGCCGCUCACAACUCCUCACCGGGGCAUCAGGACUUCUCCUCCGCACAUGCCCGAUCCACCUCAGCCUCGCCUCUUGCAUCUUCUCAUCCACCGGGGCCACCCCCACCUUCUCGCGAAUAACUUCAUUCUUAAUCUUAUCUAACCUGGUGAGCCCGCACAUCCACCUGAGUAUCCUCAUCUCCGCAACCUUCAUCCUUUGAACAUGAGAGUUCUUCAC
rnacentral:lncRNA from 1 species